rnacentral:rRNA from 1 species
UACGUAGGGCGCGAGCGUUGUCCGGAAUCAUUGGGCGUAAAGAGCUCGUAGGCGGCCUGUCGCGUCUGCUGUGAAAACCCGGGGCUUAACCCCUGGCUUGCAGUGGAUACGGACAGACUAGAGGUAGGUAGGGGAGAAUGGAAUUCCCGGUGUAGCGGUGAAAUGCGCAGAUAUCGGGAGGAACACCGGUGGCGAAGGCGGUUCUCUGGGCCUUACCUGACGCUGAGGAGCGAAAGCGUGGGGAGCGAACAGG